rnacentral:lncRNA from 1 species
UUUGGAUUUAGGUUCUUUCAUCAUGAAACCCCAAAUUUAUGGAAUCUGUUGGGAUUAUCAUGGGAGAUGCUGAAUAUACUUGAACUACAGUAAGGGCACAAAACUGGAGUUAACAAGAGCAAAACAUUCCAAACACUGAUGUCGAGUCUUCCAUGUACUUCAUACGUCACUGAAGCAAUAGUAGCUGGAUCUGUGCUCUGUGUUGCAGACCACCACUCCCUGCCCUGGGUUUGCCCAGGGCUAACACUGGCAUUGCAGCAGAGGAUGGCCCUUAGGAUUGGCAAUGACCGCUGUAGGACAAAGUCUCGAUUUUACAAGGACUACUGCUCUCUCCAGCAGAGGAGCCUGCUUCCCAACCUGUGA